rnacentral:tRNA from 1 species
GCCGCGAUGGUGAAAUGGUAGACACGCUGGCUUCAGGUGCCAGUGAUCGUAAGAUUGUGGGAGUUCAAGUCUCCCUCGCGGCA